GAAAAUGAAUAGUUGGUGCCUCACUCACACAGGAUGGUAGUACGCCAUGACAUCAGCCGAUUCAGAGAGAAGACCUGGCUGAUAAAAGAAAGAUAGAGAAGAACAUGGCAAAGAUCUUCAGUGAGGUGACGAUACAGCAAAAGGUUGCGGUUAUCAAGGAUAUGUGACGAGGUAGCGGGCCAGCCUCUUCCUGUCCGUUGCCGUCAGGUUGUAGAAAAACACACGGAUGCCCUUCAUGAAACAUGGCAGCUCCGAGGAAGUCCGCGGGGAGGACGGGCCUGUCUCCUGUGCAUCCGCGGCGGCCGAGCUGCUCGCUUGCGCCGAAGAGGUGGCGGCGGUGGGUUUGUUUUUGCCACUGCGAUUGUGAUAGUAUCUGUCAGCCAGGUUAAGGGAAGCGGAAGCUCAAAGGUGACGUUAAUAGGAGAUAUGAAUAUCAUUUGAUCUAUUUUUAGAAUUGCACGUCAGGCCAUUCCCCAACCCUGCCAAAAAAAAAAGGAUACAUGAAAGUGGGGAUGCCUCUGGAAGCCAGAUGUUUUCUGAUCAGACGCUCGGUGCCGUACCAGUUGAAGCCCUUGGUGGCGUGGCCGAUGCGAGGCAGGUGCACGCUCGCUUAAGCGUGAAGAAAAAGAACACUUCAAGUAUCAGCCAACCAUGUGACCUAGCACGCAUUCCAGUGUAGCCACAGAGGUACGGCGGUGACGGGAGAGGGGGGUGUCCUAGCAUAUCCCGUCAGUCAAGUCUAACCAUGACACAGAAAAAAAACGCCGCCACAACGCCAAGAAAAUGUUGCUCAAACCUGCAGUGUGAGAAAUCAACUACAAGUUAUUAAUAACAACAGUUAUUUGUAGAAUACUCGUGAAACGUCACUUCGUGUAGUAUUAUCACUUUGCUUUCUUAAAAAAAAAAACUUUUACCUCAAAAAAAAUACAAUUUAUUGUUGUAAAAUGUGACUGUUUCCCUCGAAAAUUAAAUGUCAUUUUUGCAAUAUUACAUCUUUAAAAAAAACGUUAUCUAAUUCCGUUCUAAUCAUUUUUCUUAACAUGUAAAUAUUCUAAAAAAAUAUAAUUAUUGACAUAAAAUAUUGUGAAAAAAAUCAUAAAGGUAAGAGUAACGUAAAGAAUUAAAAAUGGGACACAAUAUUGCAGGUGUACCUAACAAAGUGGCUGACUGAGUGCAUUUGGAUUUUAUUGAUACGUUUUCCACCUUUGUGCCGUUUAGCGGCGGCGUGAAUCUUCCUCAGGCCUUGGUCGAGUGCCGUCAGAAAGAUUCCGGACAACUUGUUGGCUUUAUCUCGCUGCUGCGCGACGAUGAGGGCCAGCUGAGGAGGGAGCAGAGGAUACUCAAAAAACCGAACAUCGUGAUGGAAAUCAAGACAGGAAGUCACAUCGCAUCCGCACAUAUGAUGCGUCGAACGAGCGGGUCACAAGGCGUGGCACGUACCCACGCAGUGGACGAUGAUGGCGUCCCCACGCGCGGUGUGAGGAUGCGUGACGUCUCCCAGGACGUAGCUGAUGGCGCCGCUGUCCGAGUCGGCCGAGCUCACGCUGCUGCCGUCCUCCUCCUCUUCCUCGUCUUCCUCGCUGUCCGCAGAUUUCAGGCAGCGGGAUGUGUAGCCUUGGGACGCCCACCACGCCAUCCUGCGUGGAAUGACGAUGCAACGUGAACUUUUUGGUUGGUGGUACGCCGUCGAAUGUGUGCCCGAAACGGACUUUUUCUUGUACUUGUGCUCCUCCUGCUUCUUCUUGGCCUCUGCCUCAUAUUUGGCCCGCUUGGCCGCCGCCUCCUGGCGCUUCUGUCGGCGCAGUUCCAGCUCCGCCUCCGUGAGAGGACGCCGCUUCCUGGUCGGGAAGAUGAGCCCCGUCGCCGACGACACCUGAAACAAAUACGGUAUCAUUCAGAUCCUACUGUCGUCUGUUGGGUGUCAAUGGGGAAAGUCGUACGUCGGUUUUGUUUCGUAGACUUCGUCCUUCCCCGCCAGCUUUCGGCGACUCGGCGAGCUGUUGCUCCAGCAGGCGCUCGAAGCUUCUCUGGUCUUCCGAGCUGGGGUCCUUGCUGUAGUCCUUUCCCUCAAAGUAGUACAUGUGGUCUGGGAGGGCAAUCACGGGUUGACAUUUUCAACCCUUGUUGAGCUCCAGAUGAGAAGCUCCACGGUGAAAACGUACUCUGCCUGUCAGAUUCCGAGUCGCUGUCUUCAUCGUCUCGCGAGGGGGAAGGCGCUUCGCCGACAUCAUCUUGGUCAGGUGCCCAGCGGCCGUCGCGUGAGGCGCCGAGGAUCUUCUCCAGUUUCACGUCCUGGACCGAGCUCUCGUCCGAAGACAGCAACUUGUCCACGCCAAACUUCAAGAUCUCACUGAGCUAAGGAAAGCAUAUUUGGAAAUGGUUUCUCCAAACAAUAUGUUUUAUUUUCUGUAUAUUGGAAGCCCCCCCCAAAAGAAUCAUGCUCACAUGAAGUCCGGCCGCCGCCGACUGGGCUCGCUCCAGCAGCGAGAAGCGUCCCUCUUCGAUCACCGUGUUGGUGAGCUCCAGCUUGGAGACGGCGCGCGAGUACAUGAUCUCCUCAACCGUGUCUCUGGCCAGCAGGCGGAUCACCUUCACCGGCCUGUCGCCAAAAAUAUAAGUCACACACCCUCUGAAGAUAAUUAAAAAAAAGUGUUUUUCGUUUUCAUUUUUUCUGUCCAGGUAAACGAUGACAUCACGAUCGAGGCGGACACCUGCUCUGGCCAAUGCGGUGACAGCGUGCGGCCGCCUGCAGGUCGUUUUGAGGGUUGAAGUCGCUGUCCAUGAAAAUGACCGUGUCGGCGGCCGUGAGGUUCAGCCCGACGCCUCCUGCGUGAUAUUUUUGAAGACUCAUGCAGGACGUGAAGGCCAAAGUAUAUCAGGAAAGUGACAGGAAGUGGCUGCCGUCACGCAGCGCAAUGGCCUUGUUUUCGUCAUCCUGUGGCAGAUCUUAUCUGCUUUCAUCGGGCUCUCGCUUUCCUCCCUCACACACGUUUUAGCUGAAGAUGCAAGAUGUGACGAGUGUGCAAGUUCACCUGCUU